UACGGGGGGGGUAAGCGUUGUUCGGAAUUACUGGGCGUAAAGGGCUCGUAGGCGGCCAACUAAGUCAGACGUGAAAUCCCUCGGCUCAACCGGGGAACUGCGUCUGAUACUGGGUGGCUUGAAUCCGGGAGAGGGAUGCGGAAUUCCAGGUGUAGCGGUGAAAUGCGUAGAUAUCUGGAGGAACACCGGUGGCGAAGGCGGCAUCCUGGACCGGCAUUGACGCUGAGGCGCGAAAGCCAGGGGAGCAAACGGG
rnacentral:rRNA from 1 species